GAUGAACGCUGGCGGCGUGCCUAAUACAUGCAAGUAGAACGCUGAAGCUUGGUGCUUGCACCGAGCGGAUGAGUUGCGAACGGGUGAGUAACGCGUAGGUAACCUGCCUCUUAGCGGGGGAUAACUAUUGGAAACGAUAGCUAAUACCGCAUAAAAGUCGAUAUCGCAUGAUAUUGAUUUGAAAGGUGCAAUUGCAUCACUAAGAGAUGGACCUGCGUUGUAUUAGCUAGUUGGUGAGGUAACGGCUCACCAAGGCGACGAUACAUAGCCGACCUGAGAGGGUGAUCGGCCACACUGGGACUGAGACACGGCCCAGACUCCUACGGGAGGCAGCAGUAGGGAAUCUUCGGCAAUGGGGGCAACCCUGACCGAGCAACGCCGCGUGAGUGAAGAAGGUUUUCGGAUCGUAAAGCUCUGUUGUAAGAGAAGAACGAGUGUGAGAGUGGAAAGUUCACACUGUGACGGUAACUUACCAGAAA
rnacentral:rRNA from 1 species